UGCCACUCCCCCUGCUCCCCCAGCGAAGCCGGCAAAAAAAAAACAGAGGCGGCUCUGCAGCCCGUGCAGAAAGCAGCCCAGGGCGGACCGGCUCAGACAGGAUUCUGCCACCGCUGAGAUUCACCCACAACCACGGGACGGGAGGGAAGAAAAGCCAUCGGCCCUGGCCAUGCUGGUUGCUGUUUCCGAGCCUGGCUGCUGGGAUCCUUGCCCUCCCUGCAGCGCGGCUGAUCCUGCCGCCACCCCAGCACAGACACUGCAGGAACUUCCAUCAUAAAACAGCCCAGGCCACAGGCUACCCAGCCCGGCUGCGGUCCUGUGACCAUCUGCAGCCCCUGGACGAGAUAUUAACUCUUCCAGUGCUUCAAUCAUCCCUCGGCUGAGAGAAAAGGAUAAAGUGAAAACAUUUAGAGAAACAACAUAAAGAUGCCAAGUUUUGAGCCUGCUUUGCCUUCCUCCUAAUAUCUCACAGGAAGAAAUGAAGUAAUCAGCAUGAGGUGUAGGAGCUCCAGAAUGGUCUGCCAUAUGAUGUGGUGUCAACAAUUCAAUAAAGGAGAAGAGAAAGUGGCAAAUCAACUUAUUUCUUGAUGAAGAAGGACAUCCCUUAAUCCAAAUUAUUGUUUGGGGUCUUUGUAGUAUCAGGUAUCAUUUAUUUAAAAAAAAAAUAAAACUGUGCCUAUAAA